CUCAAUAACUGAAUGAUCCCCUACAACACAUACCUCUAUCUCCAUCUACUAGCUAGAUGUUGUAUACUCCCCACACUUAGAAAAUAUGUAAUUUUUCAAUCAGAUAAAAUUAUCUCUGUGUCACACUGUAAAGAUUUCACCUUGUAACUUACUGUACAAGUUGCCUGUUUUUACAUAGGAGUUCACACCUUUUCUUUUGUGCAGAGCUGGUGUGUGGAGCUGUCUGAUGACAGUGAUUUUGAAAGCCCGGUUGUACAACGAAGGAGAGUGAGUCAGAGAGAUGCACCGUCCAGAGCCCAGAGGGAACACUGUGAGAGGCAAGAGAGGGUGGAAGCCAGUGCUCCAUCUGAUGAUGGGAUGGAACUACAGGGACAGCGAGGGCCAAAUGAAGCUAUGAAUCACUUUGCAGAUUUCAUUCCUAUUGAUGUUGAAGAAGAUGAAGCCAUUGAGGAGGCCAUCAGACGCAGUCUUUUAGAA